GGUGAGGUGGCCGAGCGGUCUAAGGCGCCAGACUAAGGAUCAGAGUACUUUGUACUCGUCACUGCCCAUUGGGUUAUCUGGUCCUCCGGGGCGCGAGUUCGAAUCUCGCCCUCAUCA